UCACAUUGUUGAGUUAUUAAUAUGAAAAUUAUUCUUUCUAUUGUUUAGGACUUCUUUGUGCAUUAUGGCAGACCAGACCAAAACUACUCUAGAAUGCUCUUGCCCUAACCAGAACCAUCAAUCCCAGACAGCUGACACAACGCCAUGCAGUGGCAAUGAGGAAGUUUGUGUACCACAAACUGAAGCAACGUUGCUCAGACUUCCAGCUGUAAAAUGUUUCUCCUGUGUUUUGGUUAAGACACCAGUGAGUGCAAGUUUCAAAUUUUGGUGAAAAAUUAAUAAAUGCCUCUUUAAGGGAA